CCUACGGGAGGCUGCAGUGGGGAAUAUUGGACAAUGGGGGCAACCCUGAUCCAGCCAUGCCGCGUGUGUGAAGAAGGCCCUCGGGUUGUAAAGCACUUUCAGUGAGGAAGAACGCCUGGUGGUUAAUACCCAUCAGGAAAGACAUCACUCACAGAAGAAGCACCGGCUAACUCCGUGCCAGCAGCCGCGGUAAUACGGAGGGUGCGAGCGUUAAUCGGAAUUACUGGGCGUAAAGCGCGCGUAGGUGGCUUGAUAAGCCGGUUGUGAGAGCCCCGGGCUCAACCUGGGAACGGCAUCCGGAACUGUCAAGCUAGAGUGCAGGAGAGGAAGGUAGAAUUCCCGGUGUAGCGGUGAAAUGCGUAGAGAUCGGGAGGAAUACCAGUGGCGAAGGCGGCCUUCUGGACUGACACUGACACUGAGGUGCGAAAGCGUGGGUAGCAAACAGGAUUAGAUACCCCAGUAGUC
rnacentral:rRNA from 1 species